rnacentral:tRNA from 1 species
UCCCUCAUGGCUUAGAGGUUAAAGCAUCCACCUGCAAUGCGGAAGACCCAGGUUCAAUCCCUAAAUAGGGAA